CAGUCGCCGCGGUAAUACGAAGGGUGCAAGCGUUAAUCGGAAUUACUGGGCGUAAAGCGUGCGUAGGCGGUGAGUUAAGUCUGCUGUGAAAUCCCCGGGCUCAACCUGGGAAUGGCAGUGGAUACUGGCUCGCUAGAGUGUGUCAGAGGAUGGUGGAAUUCUCGGUGUAGCGGUGAAAUGCGUAGAGAUCGGGAGGAACAUCAGUGGCGAAGGCGGCCAUCUGGGACAACACUGACGCUGAGGCACGAAAGCGUGGGGAGCAAACAGGAUUAGAUACCCCUGUAGUCCCUGUCUCUUAUAA
rnacentral:rRNA from 1 species